CCUUAUAGGUGGAGCAUACUUCCUCAAUCCACUGACCUGAAUCUUGACCAUGUGGCUUACAUUGUCCAGUGAAAUAUAAGGAGAAGUUCAGUGUGACAGUGAGGAGUGCAGACUUUCAGAUGCAAUGAGUGUUUCUUCUCGUUGUUCUGUGCUCCUGUCCUGCACCAUAAGAGCAUGUCCCAGGUCAUCAUGUUCUUUUGACCAGGCUCCUGGAAUGAGAGACGCUUGGAGCUGACCUGAACUGGACCUCUAGAAGCAGAGAUGCUGAGAACAUCUGCAGAUACAUGAUGGAUUGAGCAGUCCCUGAGUCAUAUACUCUACCAGAGAAUGAAUGAUGUCUGGUAAAUAAGAUGAUGAAUCUGACACAUAAAAGUACUGAGGGCCCAGUCAAGGCAAUAUCACUGGCUGUGAAAUGCUGAAGAGAAUCAGUUGAAAGAGAAAGAAGAAUGAAUUGGAAAAGCAAAUACUUCUGUGUUCUACUGUCAAAUGUGAUGCAUUCAAAUAAGGGAUGUUAUGACAGAAAAAACAAAUCUUCCUCAACUUGUCCACAUCAGUUCCAUUCCCUCAUUUAUAGGGAAGCUUGAGGAAUGUUUAGUGAAAUGCUGGCAAAUAGACUUCAAGAGAAAGUCUAAUUAGUAAUGUUUUUUCUUCUAAGGUAAGUAGAGAAAAAAAGGUAAUUAUGGAAACCCCAAGUUUCGUUCUCAAAUUUAAGCCCAACUUAAAUAUAGUUUAAGGUCUUUCUUCCUUUAAACUCACCACUCUUACCUUCUGAGGCUCAUCUAUCUCCAAAUCAACCAGGAAAAAAAAGUAGAAGAAAAUCACCAGCUGUUGGGAAAGUUAUUUAGAGGAUGUUAGCCAGAUUAAUCUUUACAUAAUAAUUAUGAAUUAGUAACGUUUCUCCUCCAUAAAAUCCACAUAUUUAGUGAGCUUCAGAGAACAUAGAAGAGGCAAGAGAAAAUGACAGUGAAGUGAUGUAUUAGCCAUGGCUCUCUAGAGGGACAAGACUAAUAAGAUAGACAUAUAUAUGAAAGGGAGUUUAUUAAGGAGUAUUGACUGACACAGUCACAAGGUGAAGUCCCACAAUAGGCCGUCUGCCAUCUGAGGACCAAGGAAGCCAGCCCAAGUCCCCAAACCUCAAAAGUAGGAAAACCAACAGUGCAGCCUUCAGCCUGUGGCCAAAGGCCCGGGAGACCCUGGUAAACCACUGUAUAGGUCCAAGAGUCCAAAAGCUGAAGAACCUGGAGUCCGAUAUUCAAGGGCAGGAAGCAUCCAGCAUGGGAGAAAGAUGAAGGCCGGAAGACUCAGCCAGUCUAGUCCUUCCACGUUCUGUCUGCUUUAUUCUAGCUAUUCUGGCAGCUGAUUAGAGAUCGUGCCCACCCAGUUUGAGGGUGGGUCUGCCUCUCCCAGUCCACUGACUCAAAUGUUAAUCUCCUUUGGCAACACCCUCAAAGACACACCCAGGGACAAUACUUUGCAUUCUUCAAUCCAAUUAAGUUGACAGUAUUAACCAUCACAAGUGCUUCAUCAUGUUAUAAUAAAACAGAAUUAUGGCUUCAAGGACCCGCAGUCUUUAAAACUACCCACACAAAAGAUAAAAGGGAACUAAAAUUAUAAUUUCCCAAGGAUUAACAGUAUAAGCUUCAUUCUAAGUGAAUUAAAUAAUUUGUCAAUUUCCUCUUCAUACUGAAAGUAACCAUACUAGGAUAUAACAUGUGUUGGAAAAGUGAUUACAAAUGACUCAAAUCAGUGCCCUAAAAUUUCAAACAAAUUCCCACUAUUGAUACAUAAGGAAUCCACAUUGGGAUUAGCAGUAUUAUUCACUUAUGCAAAAAUAUCUUUUGACAUGAGGUGAAAACAUAACCUCUGAACACAGUCAUUCUUUUAGGUUUUCAGUGGGAAUUGUGCCUAAGUGAUUAGGAAAGGAUAUGGUCCAAUAAAUAAACUGAAAAUUUUGUAACAAGUGGUAGAGUAAUACAUAUUAAUUCUGAACAGAUUGACACUGUAAUUUGGGAUAAAAACCAUAAUGAUUACAGAACACAGUCAGUGUAAGUCUGAUGGACUAGAACAGAUGUGUCCACCUGUUUAGGGUCCAGCUCUGCUUCACUUGGGCUGCAUAACACUAGCUAUUUGGAAAGGCAUACAGGUUAGGAAACAGAAAAUAUAUUGGAUUCUGGAUCAAUUUUUGUUCUUCUAUGUAACAAUUAACGUCAAAAAGACAGAGCACACCAAAGGCUAAAAUAAAAGAAAGUCUAGAGGAGAUGUAAACAUUAUUACAUGCCUUUCAUUGGAGAUAAUUUGGAAACCUUCAUAAAGAGAUUUUCAAGGUCAGGAGUGUGUAAUAGAUUCAAACUGUUUUUGUUUUUCUAACAUCAACAAAUCUUGUAUAAAUUAACUCAAUCGGAGUUUUUUUAAAAUGCUAAACUGAAGAAAGAUGGAAAGAGACUCCAAUAUUAUAAUGUUCAUGCCUAGGGGCACUCCAUAUAUCCAAUACCAAGUAAGACUAGGCUUUUGUGAAUAUUUAUCACUUGAAAUCAUGGGGAAAAUACUUUUUUCUUGACAGAAUAUGCCCCAGGUUUAAAGAUUAUACUGUACAUCAUUAAGGGGUAAUUUUAUUUUUUCUUAAGGUAGAAGGAGAUAUCAGUACUAUAAUAAUAAAUCUGCCUCUUUGUUAUAAGAAAAGUUUAAUGUGUGGUCAUAAACAUUGUUUGUUUUAAAGACAGAUUGUUAUAGAUGUAUUAUUAAAAAUAUCCAUCCUGUCUGUACUCUUUAUACUUUCUUACUUAAAUUUAUUAACAAAAUUGGGUAUAUGUGUGCCAUUCUUUCUCUGUUGUCUCUGCCAUCCUCUGGAUAUUUAGCCAAUCCUUAACCUAAAAAGCCUUUGUCAUUAUAAGGGUAAAACAUCAUUUUGUUAUAUCUUAAUAUAGAGAAACCAGUCUUCUAGCUCAUUUAUAAUCUUCAAAUGUGUUUGUUGGAGAUGUUUUGUAUUCGUUAAUUUAUUUGAUUUUUUGUAUAAUAAUUUCCCUCCAAAUAAGGUUUUCAAAUUUCAUAAUGAGAAGAACACAGGUUAGUUUAGAGUACUGUAGAUAUAUUCUUGUCAAAGAUAUCAACUGGGUAAAAUGCUAUCGGAAACAUCCAAGAAGUUUAAAAAGUUUUGUUGGCCAGGUGUGGUGGCUCAUGCCUGUAAUUCCAGCACUUUGGGAGGCCGAGGUGGGCAGAUAAUUUGAAGUCAGAAGUGUCAGACCAGCCUGGCCAACAUGGCGAAACCCCUUCUCUACUAAAAAUACAAACAUUAGCUGGGUGCAGUGGCAGGUGCCUGUAAUCCCAGCUACUUGGUAAGCUGAGGCAGGAGAAUUGCUUGAACCUGGGAGGCAGAGGUUGCAGUGAGCUGAGAUCACGCCACUGCACUCCGGCCUGGGUGACAAGAGUGAAACUCUGUCUCAAAAUAAAUAAACAAACAAACAAAUAAAAUAAAUAGAUAAAUAAAUAAAUAAAUAAAUAAAAUUUUGUCUUCCUUGCUUGCCAUUUCUUAUAAUCAGAAAAACUAGAGAAACAUCUUUCAACAUAGUCUAUAUGCAGUACCAGAUUUGACAGAAUUUGUAUUAUCCAAAAACUCUAGUGGGUAAAUGGCAUUAUAGUUUAUAAUGAGAAUAUUUUGUCAUACUCUUUGCACUCAAGGAAGUGUAAAAAUUUAACAGAUAUACAAAAAGGAAGAGAAAACUAAUAUAAAUAGAUGAGAGAUCUGCAAGUGUCCCAUCCAUUUAGAGGGCCAAAACAGUGAUUGAUUUCAGGGCAAUUAUGUAUUUGCUAUAAAUUCCUGUUUUGAGGUCAAAAAAUUAAAAGUGUUCAGAAAAAUUGAUGUAGUUUAUGCAAUUCUGGACAUAGUACAUUUUAUCUUAUCAGUGUUAUUUUAUAAUAUUCAGAGUAGAUAUAUUAAAAAUAAUAAAAUCAUGACCUAAUGACUACAUUACUGUGUAAUUACAGAUGCAACAUAUUAUAGUGGAUGACUAAAGACUUUUUAGAUUCUGUAGUUGUUUAAAUUCAGUAGUUUCAAAUUCUGACUGUGUAUCAGCUGGGAAACUUUUAAACAAUACUGAUGUCUUGGUGCCUAGCUCCCGUAUCCCCACCCUCCCACUCAUGGAUUGUCAUACAAUUGACCUGAGGUGGGGCCCAGGCAUUAAUUUUUUUUUUGAACUUUUAUUUUAAGUUCAUGGGUACAUGUACAGUUUCUUUACCUAGUUAAGCUUAUGUCAUGUGCAUCCAACAAAGGUCUAAUAUCCAGCAUCUGUAAGGAACUUAAACACAUUUUCAAGAAAAAACAAACAGCCCCAUAAAAAAGUGGGCAAAGACUUGAACAGGCAUUGAUUUUCUUUCUUUUUUUUUUUUAUUAUACUUUAAGUUCUAGGGUACAUGUGCACAACGUGCAGGUUUGUUACAUAGGUAUACAUGCGCCAUGUUGGUUUGCUGCACCCAUCAACUCGUCAUUUACAUUAGGUAUUUCUCCUAAUGCUAUCCCUCCCCUAGCCCCCCACCCCACGACAGGCCCCCGGUGUGUGAUGUUUGCUGCCCUGUGUCCAAGUGUUCUCAUUCUUCAGUUCCCACCUAUGAGUGAUAACAUGCAGUGUUUGGUUUUCUGUCCUUGUGAUAGUUUGCUGAGAAUGAUGGUUUUCAGCUUCAUCCAUGUCCCUGUAAAGGACAUGGACUCAUCCUUUUUUAUGGCUGCAUAGUAUUCCAUGGUGUAUAUGUGAAAUAUUUUCUUUAUCCAGUUUAUCAUUGAUGGGCAUUUGGGUUGGUUCCAAGUCUUUGCUAUUGUGAAUAGUGCCACAAUAAAUAUACGUGUGCAUGUGUCUUUAUAGUAGCAAGAUUUAUAAUCCUUUGGGUAUAUACCCAGUAAUGGGAUGGCUGGGUCAAAUGGUAUUUCUAGUUCUAGAUCCUUGAGGAAUCGCCACACUGUGGUUGAACUAAUUUACACUCCCAUCAACAGUGUAAAAGUGUUCCUAUUUCUCCACAUCCUCUCCAGCACCUGUUGUUUCCUGACUUUUUAAUGAUCACCAUUCUAACUGGUGUGAGAUGGUAUCUCACUGUGGUUUUGAUUUGCAUUUCUCUGAUGGCCAGUGAUGAUGAGCAUUUUUUCAUGUGUCUGUGGGCUGCAUAAAUGUCUUCUUUUGAGAAAUGUCUGUUCAUAUCCUUUGCCCACUUUUUGAUGGGGUUGUUUGCCUUUUUUGUAAAUUUGUUUAAGUUCUUUGUAGAUUCUGGAUAUUAGCCCUUUGUCAGAUGGGUAGACUGCAAAAAUUUUCUCCCAUUCUGUAGGUGAACAGGCAUUGAUUUUCUAAGAGCUCUUUUGGUCAUUACAUUGUGAAGCCAGGGUUGAGAAAUAAUUAUCUUCAUUUUUCUGUUCCUAAAUUGGGUUAACUGGAGCCAUUUCUCCUUAUAUCGAUGAGAUCUUAUGAGAAACAGUUAAUAAAAUAUCUUCACAUACAUUUGUGUAACAUUUUAUGGUUGUCAAAAAGAGUUUCAAAUCUAUUGGAGGUACACUAGGUAAUUAAAGACUACAACAGAGGUAAAUACGUUUUUUGGAAAGAUCACUUGUCUAAAUCUUGGUGGUGUCAGUGAAUACUUCCUGGGGAAAGAGACUACAAAUCUUUGGCAUGAAAUGCAAAUUGGGGUUCAAGGUUAAUCUGUGCAGAAACGCAUGUCAGUAUUCCAUUCCUUUUUAUGGUCAAAUAAUAUUCCAUGGUAUGAAUAAUCCACAAGAAUUUAGUCACAGAAAACCACAUAUUAUAUGAUUCCACUUAUAUGAAAUAUCUGGAAGAGACAAAUCUAUAGAGACAGAAAGUUGAUUAACAGUUGCAUAGAACUGGGCUGUAAGGGGUAUGGGGAGAUUGGUAAGUAACAGCUAAUGAGUACAGAGUUUCACUUUGUAGUGAUUACGAAGUUCUAAAAGUGAUGGUUGAACUUAUCUGUAAAUAUACUAAAAACCAUUGAAUUAUGCAGUUUAAAUGGGCAAAUUAUACAUCCUGUGAAAUAUAUCUCAAUAAAGUUGUUCUGAAAAACAAGUAGGCUUGCAAGACCAGAUGAGUGAGAGCACUGUAUCUGGAGGGAGAAAUCUCAGAAAGCAAGGAGAGUUUAGAAACUGGUAAGUAGCUCCAGAUGGCUGGCACAUAGGGUUAGAGAAGGGUCCCAGAGGUGGUUAGAAGUGAAGCUAAAUAAAACAAAUGGGUCUGAUCAUGAAAGAUAUGUUUAGCCUUUAAAUUUUUAAAAGUUGUGGUAAAAUAUAUACAACAUUUAUCGUCUUAACCAUUUUUAGUGGGUAGUUCAGUAGUGUUAAAUAUAUUCACAUUAUCGUGCAAUCCAAUAUCUGGAACUGUUUUAUCUCACAAUACUGAAACUCUAUGUCUGUUAAAUAACAAUUCCCCAUCUCCUCCUGCCCUAGCCCCAGGGAAGUAUGGUGACUAUAUAUCAUCAAAUAAAAAAUGUCAACAAAGAGACAGAAAUUGUUAGAAAGAACCAAGUGAAAGUUUUGAAAUUGAAAAGUGAAAUAAGAGUGAUUAGAAAAUCACUAGAUGACCUCAAUAGUAGGUUUUAGCAUUAAAGAAAUAAUUAGUGAAUUUGAGGAUAAAUGAUUAGAAAUGAGGCCAUGUGAGUAGGAGAGAGAAAAAACAAUGAAAACUUGUUCACAGAGACACAAUCAUUCUACCAUAAAGACAUAUGCACACGUAUGUUCAUGACAGCACUAUUCACCAUAGAAAAGACAGAGAAUCAACCUAAAUGCCCAUCAGUGGUAGAUUGGAUAAAGAAAAGGUAGUACAUAUACAGCAUGGUAUAAUAUGCAGCCAAAGAAAUGAAUGAGAUCAUGUCCUUUGCAGCAACAUGAAGGAGCUAGAGGUCAUUAUUCCAAGUGAACUAACAUAGGAACAGUAAACCAAAUGCUGCAUGUUCUCACUUGUAAUUGCAAGCUAAACACUGAGUACAUAUGGACACAAAGAAGGGAACAACAGACAGUGGGGCCUUCUUGAGGGUGGAUGCUGGGAGAAAGGUGAGGAUCGAAAAACUACCUAUCAAUCAGGUUACUAUGCUCAUCACUUGGGUAAUGAUCUGUACAGCAAACCCUUGUGAUGCACAAUUGACCUGUAUAACAAACCUGCACAUGUACUCCUGAACCUAAAAUAGAAGUUAAAAAAUAAAGAAGAAAUUUGCAAAAAACCCACCAGAGACUCAGAGAAAUGUGGGAUGGACCAUUAAGUCCAUCCAUAUAUGCGUAAUGAGAGUACCAAAAGAGAGAGCAUGAAAGGGACAGAAGAAAACAUUCUAUGAAAAAAAUGGCUAAAAACUUCCUGAAUGUGAGGAAAACUAGUAAUUUACAUAUCCAAGAAGCUAAAUAACUCCAAGCAGAAUAAAUGCAAAAAACAAAAUCAUAACUAUAUACACUGCAGCCAAAAUAUUAAAAGUCAAAAAGAAAGAGAAUAUCUUUAAAGCUCUAAGAGAAAAACAACUCAUCAUGUACAGGAAAAUCACAAUAAGAUUAAUAGUAAAUUCUUCUGAAAAUAAUAGAGGCCAGAGGCAAUGAGAUGACAAAGUGAUGAAGUUAAAACAAAAUAAAA
rnacentral:lncRNA from 10 species